UUCCUGUUUUAUGUUGAAGGACUUCCGGUUUCUGUUCAUCGUGUUAGUUUCCGCUUUACUCCCAGUCCUCAUUACACACACCUGUCUCAGAUCAGUAAUCAGCCACCCGGAUUUAAGCACCAGUAGUCACCACAGUUAUCCGCCAGAUCGUUGUUAGUGAAUCCUUGUCUGCGCGUUCCAGCAAUUAUUCGUUCCGCUCAUCUUGUCAUCGACCCUGUUCGUAUGCCUGACCGCUGAUUCUCGCCUGAUCCCGACUGAACUGAGCACAAUGAGGGUAAAUCCGGAUCUGGACUCCUUUCCCACCAUCAGCAGAAGAACCGAAGAAGAAGCGCCUGACCAACAACCAGAACGGGAUGGAAGCUCUGAUACCAAAGCAGCUGGAGGACACCGACCACAGCAUGGCCUCACCGACUCCCACAACGUCUGCAGCCAUCACGUUCUGGGCUCAUCAGACUCACCAGCCACUACAAGCGUGUGUGUCUGACACAAACACCUGCUUAUGACAAUCAGCAAAGGAAAACAAGGACAGAGAAAAAGCAGAGUGAGCUCCAUCUGAGAAGACGUGCUCUGACACAGAUACUGGUUGAAACAGCAGGAGAGGCUUCAGACGUGAUCGGCCCAAUAGAGCUGCAUCUGAGGAUCCAGGAAAGGUCUUUCAUCGCAUUGGAGUUAGAACUGUCCCAUCUACGUCAGGCUCCAUCCACUGGAUUUAAGUCCACUGGACUUAAAGGGAAGAUGACUAUUAGAGAGAAGUAAUAAUAAUUACUGUACGUACCAGACUAUUAAAGAAAAACAUACUCUUUCACUGUCUUGUGCAACAUCUGACAGCAAGACACCUUAACAUUCAUUUUUGCUUUCAACUUAUGCCCAGUUAAAUUUUUAGGAAGAGAUCUCAUGUGUAGUUUAGGUAUUUGAUUGAUUUCCACUCCAGACAGAGUGCAGGUUACAUCUACAGACAUUCUAAAUAAUCCCUCUUUUGUUGGUGUUAACUUCAGCUUAGCUGUACUCUUAUCAUUAGCUGCUGAAGGGGGGCUGUAACUGAGGCCCUCACACAGGCUGCAUCACAGCUUGUUUCCAUGUGUUACGACCUCCAGAGACGCAUCUGACCUGUCCUGUACAGCACAUGUGUCUUCUGGUCCUGGAAUUCCUGAAGUCCAAAUGGGACACUGAAACUUCCAAGCUGGGAGAGUGGCUCCAGCAGAUCCCAGGAACAACAUCUGAGAUCUCUGUCCAGAGUAGUGCAGCCCUAGGAACAGGACCCUCAAGCUCCCAGGCCAGGACCCAGGCUUUAGUGGUUAUUCCGUUAUACACACACACACACACACACGUAGAUGCACAAAGAGGGAAGAUAUGUUCAAUAUUUGGUGUUGGUUCAGAAAUACUUAAAUAAUACACAAAAUUCACACCCCUUUGGAAAAUGCAUUUUUUAUUAUGAAGCACAAACACACAAUAGUGAUGAUAAAUGCAUAUGUUAGUCAACCUUUAAAAAACAAAUAUUAAAGCAUAGACAUAAAGAAUUGUAGAAUUAUCCAGCCCAUAUAAUGGAAUUUAAAGUUCCUUCAUCCGGUAUCCUGCACCAGAACCAUGUGUCUGCCACUUACUGUAGCCCAGCUGACACCUGACAAUUGAAUUCACGGGUUCAUUCAAAAAUCUUUGUCAUUGACAUAGUGCAGUCCAAUGUCAGUUUCAGAGAUCAUAUUUUAUGAGUCAUGCUGUUCCUCUAUCAUCUUAUCACCUUCUAAGUCUGUUUUUAACUCUAGGUCAAGAUUUCCUGUGCCAAGGUCUAGCGCUUGCAAGUUGGACAAGUGUGUGAAAGCGCUCUCGUCCACAGAGUCAACAGUCAAGCGGUUAAACCUGUAAAUCACAUAGAGACAAGCAUUACAUAUAGGUGCUAUUUUCAUUUUCUACAUGGACAUUAAUCCACACAGUUUAAUUACUCGACUUGACAGCAAAAAUGAGAGUUGCAUUUUAGCAAAUCUGUCAGGCAUCAGUACAGUAAGAUACCUCUCCUCCACUUCCAGCAGCUCUUAAUUAGCAUUACAGGGAUUCCAUUGAAAGAAAAUAAAGAAAGAAACAUGCUAGUCAGCAGCUUAUAUAAACAAUUUGAUUAGCACACAAGCCUGCAAGGGGGUCCAGCCCAAUAAACACAAGGUAUAAAUCAGCUUUGUUGAAAAUGCGCUAAAACCCCUGAAUACAAAUACAACAAAAGCUUUGAAAGCCUUUGCUGUAUUUGUGUUGUCAAUAUCUGACUGCGCUAUCUGCCUGCUGCUUUCAGCUGGGUUUUGUAGGGUUUGUGAGUAUAAGCCUGUCUUAUCUGUAAUAGAAGUGGGCAUUUUGCUGAUUACAAACAAGUUAAAGGAGAAGGAGAGAUGAUAUGCCACACUGCAGAACUCUGCAAACCAAAGCUCAUCCAUGUUUUGUAAAGUUAAUUAAUUAAUUAAUUGUGUUAAUUGCAACACAAAAAAAUAAUUAUUAGAUUAAUUAAUCUAUAGCUUCCAGUGCCACCAGUUUAUUUCUGGGAAUCAGUGAUGUGAAUUCCAAAGCUUUUUACUGUAUUUAAAUGUACUCUGGGCUGAUCAUUUAUAAGAUUGCAGCUGUCUGUUAGAUACAGCUGCAUCAGUUUACAAUUUCCUUAUACCCAUUCUUGGGUUGUACAGUAGUUAAAUAAUCUUUUUUGUCAAAGAUCCUGUCUUGUUUGCUCUACUUCCGGUUUUAUUUUGGUAUUUCCUGUUUUGUUUCUGGUCUAUCUUAGUUUCCUUCUAGUAAUGUGAUUCACCAGAGGUAGUUUAUCUGUAAUCAGUUACAGUAUUUAAGCACCAAUAUUCACCUUACUCAUUUGCCAUCUGUUCAUGUCAUUCCAUAGUUCAGCCAUCAAGCAAUCUUGUGUAAGUCCAUGGCUUUUCUUUUGUGCUCGUUUUGACCUUGCCCCUGCCUAGUCCUGUGCCUUUGCUGAAACUGGAUUACUGUUUUUGACCUUUGCCUGUCCGACCACCCUGCUGGCUGCUGUUCUUGUGCCAUUACCAAUUAAAGACUUGAUUUAUCAAAGCCCUACAUGAGAGCUGUGCAUUUGGGCCCAUCAGCCCCGCAUUCCUGACACUAGGCAAAUAUAAAUUUUCAUGGAAAGUGUCUAAGAUUGCGCAAGAUUUUCACAGUUUAAAGUUUAAAUUUUGUUUUGACUGCUUGUGCAAGCCAUACUUGGAAGUGAACAAAAUGUUAGCACUCGUUGAAAUAGAAAAAGACAUUUGACAAUUGUAGAAAAGAUUUCUAUCUCUUACCGAAGAUGUAUGGACUUGAUGUUUGGUGUGCCCUCAAAUGAAGAAGCUGGGACGCUAGCAAUGCGGUUAUGUUGAAGGUAAAGAUACUCCAGAGCCUCAGGCAGGUCAGAUGGGAUGUGUGACAACUGAUUGCCGGACAAGUCUAGAGUCUAGAAUUACAAGAUCUGUAAUUAAUUUAAAUACACAAAUGUACUGAAUAAAUGUUUGUAGAACAAGAGAAA